AACGAACGCUGGCGGCAUGCCUAACACAUGCAAGUCGAACGAGACCUUCGGGUCUAGUGGCGCACGGGUGCGUAACGCGUGGGAACCUGCCCUUAGGUUCGGAAUAACUCCCCGAAAGGGGUGCUAAUACCGGAUAAUGUCUUCGGACCAAAGAUUUAUCGCCUUUGGAUGGGCCCGCGUUGGAUUAGCUAGUUGGUAGGGUAAAAGCCUACCAAGGCGACGAUCCAUAGCUGGUCUGAGAGGAUGAUCAGCCACACUGGGACUGAGACACGGCCCAGACUCCUACGGGAGGCAGCAGUGGGGAAUAUUGGACAGUGGGCGAAAGCCUGAUCCAGCAAUGCCGCGUGAGUGAUGAAGGCCUUAGGGUUGUAAAGCUCUUUUAACCGGGAUGAUAAUGACAGUACCGGGAGAAUAAGCUCCGGCUAACUCCGUG
rnacentral:rRNA from 1 species